rnacentral:rRNA from 1 species
UACGGGAGGCAGCAGUAAGGAAUAUUGGUCAAUGGGGCAACCCUGAACCAGCCAUGCCGCGUGCAGGAAGACGGCCCUACGGGUUGUAAACUGCUUUUAUACGGGAUAAACCUCAAUUCGUGAAUUGAGCUGAAUGUACUGUAAGAAUAAGGAUCGGCUAACUCCGUGCCAGCAGCCGCGGUAAUACGGAGGAUCCAAGCGUUAUCCGGAUUUAUUGGGUUUAAAGGGUGCGUAGGCGGCCUAUUAAGUCAGGGGUGAAAGACGGUGGCUCAACCAUCGCAGUGCCCCUUGAUACUGAUGGGCUUUGAUUUACACUUUGAGGUAGGCGGAAUGUGACAAGUAGCGGUGAAAUGCAUAGAUAUGUCACAGAACACCAAUUGCGAAGGCAGCUUACUAAGGGUGUUAAUGACGCUGAGGCACGAAAGCGUGGGGAUCAAACAGGAUUAGAUACC